AAAUAAAACCCUGGGUAGUCACGCUGUAAACGAUGUCGAUUUGGAGGUUGUGCCCUUGAGGCGUGGCUUCCGGAGCUAACGCGUUAAAUCGACCGCCAGGGGAGUACGGCCGCAAGGUUAAAACUCAAAUGAAUUGACGGGGGCCCGCACAAGCGGUGGAGCAUGUGGUUUAAUUCGAUGCAACGCGAAGAACCUUACCUGGCUCUUGACAUCCACAGAACUUUCCAGAGAUGGAUUGGUGCCUUCGGGAACUGUGAGACAGGUGCUGCAUGGCUGUCGUCAGCUCGUGUUGUGAAAUGUUGGGUUAAGUCCCGCAACGAGCGCAACCCUUAUCCUUUGUUGCCAGCGGUUAGGCCGGGAACUCAAAGGAGACUGCCAGUGAUAAACUGGAGGAAGGUGGGGAUGACGUCAAGUCAUCAUGGCCCUUACGACCAGGGCUACACACGUGCUACAAUGGCAUAUACAAAGAGAAGCGACCUCGCGAGAGCAAGCGGACCUCAUAAAGUAUGUCGUAGUCCGGAUUGGAGUCUGCAACUCGACUCCAUGAAGUCGGAAUCGCUAGUAAUCGUAGAUCAGAAUGCUACGGUGAAUACGUUCCCGGGCCUUGUACACACCGCCCGUCACACCAUGGGAGUGGGUUGCAAAAGAAGUAGGUAGCUUAACCUUCGGGAGGGCGCUUACCACUUUGUGAUUCAUGACUGGGGUGAAGUCGUAACAAGGUAACCGUAGGGGAACCCUUGCGU
rnacentral:rRNA from 1 species